rnacentral:rRNA from 1 species
GCCAGCUCACGCGGUAAUUCCAGCUCCCAUAGCGUAUAUUAACGUUGUUGCAGUUAAAAAGCUCGUAGUUGAAGUGAGGGAGUGUGUGUUGUGAUCGAAUCGAUCGAGAGCAGUACAACCUCCCCCUUCCAAUGGGUGUAUUGGGGUAUUCAUUUACUUCAUUACUCCUUUGGUCGUUUACUGUGAGAAAAUUAGAGUGUUCAAAGCGGGCGUUUGUUUGAAUAGAUUAGCAUGGAAUAAUGAUUGAAGGCUUUCGUGUUCGAUUUGAUUGGUUUGUUCAUGGAAGCAAGGUUAAAAGGAACAGUUGGGGGUAUUCAUAUUCACUAGUUAGAGGUGAAAUUCUCGGAUUUAUGGAAGAUGAACAAGUGCGAAAGCA